rnacentral:ncRNA from 1 species
AUAGUACAAUAGAGCAGGCGAUCGGAUUUUGUUCCGGUGGGGCUGGGCCGGAUAAACGAUAACGGCAGCAGAAAAAUAUCUGUGGGACUAUA